UAUGAUGAAGAUCCAGAACCGUUCUGUCGAACCCGGUUUGAUUAAUCCCACCGAUCAGGUUCUUAUGGCCAGGCAUCUGCUCGAAGCCUCUCUCAUGGGUAUUUCCGAUCGCUUGAUUGCUUUUUUUACUUCGUUUGGUUGCCGAGAAAAUUGAAGAAAAGAAAAAAGAAAACAAAACACUCUUGAGUUUUGUGAUUUUUGUUUUGCAGAAAUGAGAAACUGACCUAAAUUAAGUCAAAAUGCUUGCAUUUGGCUUUGAAAUUUUGUUUUCUUAUCUUUUUAAUGUUUUAAUUUUCUCUAUUUUCUCAGAACCAAGUGUCCUCCAAUUGUUGAUUUUUUUUUUUUUUUUUUUGUGGUGAAUUUGGUUUUUAACUCAUCAGCUCUCAUCAUCAUAAAUAUAUUCCAAUCAAAACUAGCAUGUGUUGUCGUAAUUGCAAAUACCAAGAGUUAGGGCUCUAAUGGUAUAGUGAGAUUGAUGAGAAAGGUAGAAAACAAUAAUUUUUGGCUUAAAAGAUGAUUAUAAAGUUGCUCUAGGAAUGGGAAAUGAAUGCAAAGAUGAUUUCCCUAGUCUCAAAAACCCAAAUACCAACAUUCUCACUGAAUUUCCCAAACCCAAAAGAACUUCAUGUCUGAUCACACAUAAAAAUUCAACCCCUGUUGAUAGAAAAUGAGGAGAAGAAACAGAGAACAAAGAAAAAUCCAGCCAAUCUCAUGCCAUUGCGAUACUGGGAAUUGUUGCUAUGUUUACAUGGUAGACCUGUGGUUUAUAAUCCCAUUAGUGUCUUGUCUCAUAAGCAAAAAUUGUUCGCAAAAAUUAUGAUUUAGAGAAGGGGAUUUAUUUCCCAUCUGCCAAAACCUGUUACAUUUGUAUUUCUCAAUAUGAGAGAGAUAAUUGUUUGUAGUUUUAUUGAAUGUUUACCGGUACUUUACAGUUCAUUUUAUUCUUGGAAAAUUUUUGCUCUUCAAAACUUGAGGUUCUUCAAUUCAAUGACUCAUCAGAGAUUUUUUUACUUUGAUGCUGUUAAAUGUUCUCCAGGAAUGAUAUGAUCUACAAACACCAGUUCUUACUAUUCACUUCACAGUGUGGACUUUUUUCCCCAGAUCAAGUUCAAGGUCUAGAACCUGGUUUGAUCAUCAUUGAAUGUGAAUAAUGUCUAUUUUUAAAUAUAUAAUUUCUUGCCCAUCAAAAAAUUUUAUGCGAAUAAUCUGUAUUGAGAUAUUUGUCAAACACUUUGAGCCUUGGAUAAAGAUAUUAAGAUUCACCAUUUUAAUUCACAUUUGAUAUGCCAUCCAAUUUGUUUGAUAACCAUUCUCUUUUCCUGAUUUUGAUUUCAAGAGUAGUUAUUUACUUGCAGGGUUCUUGCUGUUCCUCGCACUGAUGAUAGAUAGACUUCACCAUUACAUUCGAGAGCUUCGUUUACUCAGGAAGGCCAUGGAGGCUGAAAAGAAGCAAAACCGAGGUUUUGAGGAUGGGAAAAAUGGCCGUGCAGAAGAGGCCAAAGCUAUGGGGGAAGAGAUGAGUUCAUUAAGGACACAAAUUAAGAAGCUGGAAUCUGAAUGCGAGACAAAAGCCAAAGAGGCAGAGGCAGCAGAAGCCAAUACAGUCGCUCUAAAAAAGCAAUCUGAAGGUUUCCUUCUGGAAUAUGACCGACUGCUGGAGGAGAAUCAAAACCUUAAGAGCCAGUUGGAGUCAAUUGACCAAGGUCUACAAUCUUGAGAGCAAGAAGAGUACACAAGUGAG
rnacentral:lncRNA from 1 species